rnacentral:rRNA from 1 species
UACGGGAGGCAGCAGUGGGGAAUAUUGCACAAUGGGCGAAAGCCUGAUGCAGCUAUGCCGCGUGUAUGAAGAAGGCCUUAGGGUUGUAAAGUACUUUCAUCGGGGAGGAAAAAACAAAACUAAUAAUUUUAUUUCUUGACGUUACCCGAAAAAGAAGCACCGGCUAACUCCGUGCCAGCAGCCGCGGUAAUACGGAGGGUGCUAGCGUUAAUCAGAAUUACUGGGCGUAAAGAGCACGUAGGUGGUUUUUUUAAAGUCAGAUGUGAAAUCCCUGGGCUUAACCUAGGAACUGCAUUUUGAAACUGAAAUACUAGAGUAUCGUAGAGGGAGGUAGAAUUCUAGGUGUAGCGGUGAAAUGCGUAGAUAUCUGGAGGAAUACCUGUGGCGAAAGCGGCCUCCUAAACGAAUACUGACACUGAGGUGCGAAAGCGUGGGGAGCAAACGAGGAUUAGAUACC